rnacentral:lncRNA from 1 species
GGCUGGAAGAUAUGGUGAAGCUCAUGACCGAGUGCUGGCAUCAGGAUCCCAGCAGGAGACCGUCGUUCCUCGACUGUGUUCAUGCGACUGAGAAGAUCUCUAAUAUGCACAAACAUGGACUCAAUGAUGCUGUCUAUGAUGUUCUGAAGCAGCUGGAUGAUGACAUUUGUUCCGGUUUGAAAUCAAUCCAGAUCAGCCGUCAACCACACAACGGAAGCAUGUUGAAAUACACAGAAAUCCCUCUAAUUUUAC